rnacentral:rRNA from 1 species
UACGGAGGGUGCAAGCAUUGAUCGGAAUUACUGGGCGUAAAGGGCGCGUAGGCGGUCUGAUAAGUUAGAUGUGAAAUUCCGGGGCUCAACCCCGGAGCUGCAUUUAAAACUAUUGGACUAGAGGUUGGUAAGGGAAAACAGAAUUCCACGUGUAGCGGUGAAAUGCGUAGAUAUGUGGAAGAAUACCGGUGGUGAAGACGGUUUUCUGUGCCAAACCUGACGCUGAGGCGCGAAAGCUAGGGGAGCAAACAGG